rnacentral:misc_RNA from 1 species
UUAAGUUCAGCGGGUAUUCCUACCUGAUCCGAGGUCAACCUUUAAAAUUUUUGGGGGUUUUACGGCGAGGGACCGGUCCAACUCACAGGCGAGAUAAAAAUUACUACGUCUAGAGUGUGAACCAACUCCGCCACUACAUUUGAGGAGCUACGCUGACCGUAGGCUCCCAACACUAAGCAACAGGGGCUUAAGGGUUGAAA